rnacentral:rRNA from 1 species
GACGAACGCUGGCGGCGUGCUUAACACAUGCAAGUCGAACGGAAAGGCCCUGCUUGCAGGGUACUCGAGUGGCGAACGGGUGAGUAACACGUGGGUGAUCUGCCCUGCACUUCGGGAUAAGCCUGGGAAACUGGGUCUAAUACCGGAUAGGAGCCAUUUUUAGUGUGAUGGUUGGAAAGUUUUUUCGGUGUAGGAUGAGCUCGCGGCCUAUCAGCUUGUUGGUGGGGUAAUGGCCUACCAAGGCGGCGACGGGUAGCCGGCCUGAGAGGGUGGACGGCCACAUUGGGACUGAGAUAGGGCCCAGACUCCUACGGGAGGCAGCAGUGGGGAAUAUUGCACAAUGGGCGCAAGCCUGAUGCAGCGACGCCGCGUGGGGGAUGACGGCCUUCGGGUUGUAAACUCCUUUCGCUAGGGACGAAGCUUUUUGUGACGGUACCUAGAUAAGAAGCACCGGCUAACUACGUG